rnacentral:lncRNA from 1 species
AUACAUGGAGACCAAGAAAGGCUCAAGAAGGGUGACAAAGUAGUAAAGUACAGAUAAUAAGCUUUGGUGCUGGCUUUUUGUGGGAGGUAAAGAAGGAUCUAGGGGAUACAAAAUUACACAUCAGUGGGACAACUGCAUUGAUGGUUGCACGUUUGAAAUUACUUGAUGCCAAAAAUUUUAGAAACACAAAUGGGUAAGAUAUCACCUUCUAUAAAUCACAUUGAAGAAACCAGUUAAAUAGUUA